GAUGAACGCUGGCGGCGUGCCUAAUACAUGCAAGUCGAGCGAACAGACGAGGAGCUUGCUCCUCUGACGUUAGCGGCGGACGGGUGAGUAACACGUGGAUAACCUACCUAUAAGACUGGGAUAACUUCGGGAAACCGGAGCUAAUACCGGAUAAUAUAUUGAACCGCAUGGUUCAAUAGUGAAAGACGGUUUUGCUGUCACUUAUAGAUGGAUCCGCGCCGCAUUAGCUAGUUGGUAAGGUAACGGCUUACCAAGGCAACGAUGCGUAGCCGACCUGAGAGGGUGAUCGGCCACACUGGAACUGAGACACGGUCCAGACUCCUACGGGAGGCAGCAGUAGGGAAUCUUCCGCAAUGGGCGAAAGCCUGACGGAGCAAAGCCGCGUGAGUGAUGAAGGUCUUCGGAUCGUAAAACUCUGUUAUUAGGGAAGAACAAAUGUGUAAGUAACUAUGCACGUCUUGACGGUACCUAAUCAGAAAGCCCCGGCUAACUACGUG
rnacentral:rRNA from 1 species